UACGUAGGGUGCAAGCGUUGUCCGGAAUUAUUGGGCGUAAAGAGCUCGUAGGCGGUUUGUCGCGUCUGCUGUGAAAACUCGGGGCUUAACUCCGGGUCUGCAGUGGGUACGGGCAGACUAGAGUGCGGUAGGGGAGACUGGAAUUCCUGGUGUAGCGGUGAAAUGCGCAGAUAUCAGGAGGAACACCGGUGGUGUAGACGGCUUUCUGGACCGUAACUGACGCUGAGACACGAAAGCGUGGGUAGCAAACAGG
rnacentral:rRNA from 1 species